rnacentral:tRNA from 1 species
GGUGGCUCAGUGGUAGAGCGUUUGCCUCACAGGCAUUAGGCCUUAGGUUUGAUUCCUCAGCACCA